GAAAAAAGUUUUAAAAAAUGGAUGGAAUGUCUUCAGAGGCUAAUGAAGAGAAUGACCAUACACAAAGGCCUGUUAGAAGACGGCAUUCCUCAAUUUUGAAACCCCCAAGGAGUCCUCUUCAGGACCUCAAAUGUGGAAAUGAAACUGUUCAGGAAUCUAAUGCGCCAAGAACUAGGAAAAGCUCUCGUCGAGUCAGCUUUGCAGAUACUAUAAA